rnacentral:rRNA from 1 species
UACGUAGGUGGCAAGCGUUAUCCGGAAUUAUUGGGCGUAAAGCGUGCGCAGGCGGCUAAUUAAGUCUGAGGUCAAAUACUGGGGCUCAACCCCAGCUCGCCUUGGAAACUGGUUAGCUAGAGUGCAGAAGAGGGUAGUGGAAUUCCAUGUGUAGCGGUAAAAUGCGUAGAUAUAUGGAGGAACACCAGUGGCGAAGGCGGCUACCUGGUCUGUAACUGACGCUCAUGCACGAAAGCGUGGGGAGCAAAUAGG